GCGUGGAGACAGGUGGUGCAUGGCUGUCGUCAGCUCGUGUCGUGAGAUGUUGGGUUAAGUCCCGCAACGAGCGCAACCCUCACCCCUAGUUGCCACCGGGUAAAGCCGAGCACUCGAGGGGAACUGCCAGCGUCAAGCUGGAGGAAGGCGGGGAUGACGUCAAGUCAUCAUGCCCCUUACGCCCUGGGCUACACACGUGCUACAAUGGCCGGUACAAAGGGACGCGAGACUGCAAAGUGGAGCUAAUCCCAAAAAACCGGUCUAAGUUCAGAUUGCAGUCUGCAACUCGACUGCAUGAAGGAGGAAUCGCUAGUAAUCGCGCAUCAGCACGGCGCGGUGAAUACGUUCCCGGGCCUUGUACACACCGCCCGUCACACCACGAAAGCUGUCUGUACUCGAUAGUCCGCUGAG
rnacentral:rRNA from 1 species